rnacentral:tRNA from 1 species
GGGUGAUUAGCUCAGCUGGGAGAGCACCUCCCUUACAAGGAGGGGGUCGGCGGAUUUCGAACCCGUCAUCACCCACCA